ensembl:antisense
AAACAAAUAUGGAUCUGACAGGGAUGCUGCAGUGUGGUUCGAAAGAUAACAUGCAUACCCAAAAAUUGAUGGAGCUCUAUAAUGUAAUGAAAGAGAGCCAGUGAGUUUCGCUGGUAUCUGUGUCAGCCAGGAUCUCCUCAUUCCAGAAGAAUAACUGCAGGGGUCUGGGGUAUCCUUGUGUAUGAACCAGGUACAGACAAUUCAACUGAAGCCAGAAUGUAUAAUGUCAAUAAAACGUUCUGGAUGGUUAUGAUCUA